rnacentral:rRNA from 1 species
GAUGAACGCUGGCGGCGUGCCUAAUACAUGCAAGUCGAACGGAGCUGCUUUGAUGAAGUUUUCGGAUGGAUUUAAAACAGCUUAGUGGCGGACGGGUGAGUAACGCGUGAGUAACCUGCCUCACACUGGGGGAUAACAGUUAGAAAUAGCUGCUAAUACCGCAUAAGCGCACAGAUCCGAAUGGAACAGAGUGAAAACCUCGGGUGGUGUGAGAUGGACCCGCGUCUGAUUAGCCCGUUGGCGGGGUAACGGCCCACCAAAGCGACGAUCAGUAGCCGGCCUGAGAGGGUGAACGGCCACAUUGGGACUGAGACACGGCCCAAACUCCUACGGGAGGCAGCAGUGGGGAAUAUUGCGCAAUGGGGGAAACCCUGAUGCAGCGACGCCGCGUGAGUGAAGAAGUAUUUCGGUAUGUAAAGCUCUAUCAGCAGGGAAGAUAGUGACGGUACCUGAAUAAGAAGCCCCGGCUAACUACGUGCCAGCAGCCGCCGUAA